rnacentral:rRNA from 1 species
AACGGACGCUGGCGGCAGGCUUAACACAUGCAAGUCGAACGCAUCCUUCGGGGUGAGUGGCAGACGGGUGAGUAACGCGUGGGAACGUGCCCUUCAGUUCGGGAUAACCCAGGGAAACUUGGGCUAAUACCGGAUACGUGCGAGAGCAGAAAGAUUUAUCGCUGCAGGAUCGGCCCGCGUCUGAUUAGAUAGUUGGUGGGGUAAUGGCCCACCAAGGCGACGAUCAGUAGCUGGUCGGAGAGGAUGAUCAGCAGCAUUGGGACUGAGACACGGCCCAAACUCCUACGGGAGGGAGCAGUGGGGAAUAUUGGACAAUGGGCGCAAGCCUGAGCCAGCCAUGCCGCGUGAGUGAUGAAGGCCUUAGGGUUGUAAAGCUCUUUCGUCCGGGACGAUAAUGACGGUACCGGAAGGAGAAGCCCCGGCUAACAUCGUGCCAGCCGCCGCAGUAA